rnacentral:rRNA from 1 species
GCUUGCACCUUUCAAGCGAGUGGCGAACGGGUGAGUAACACGUGGAUAACCUGCCUCAAGGCUGGGGAUAACAUUUGGAAACAGAUGCUAAUACCGAAUAAAACUUAGUAUCGCAUGAUACAAAGUUGAAAGGCGCUACGGCGUCACCUAGAGAUGGGUCCGCGGUGCAUUAGUUAGUUGGUGGGGUAAAGGCCUACCAAGACAAUGAUGCAUAGCCGAGUUGAGAGACUGAUCGGCCACAUUGGGACUGAGACACGGCCCAAACUCCUACGGGAGGCUGCAGUAGGGAAUCUUCCACAAUGGGCGAAAGCCUGAUGGAGCAACGCCGCGUGUGUGAUGAAGGCUUUAGGGUCGUAAAGCACUGUUGUAUGGGAAGAAAUGCUAGAAUAGGGAAUGAUUCUAGUUCGACGGUACCAUACCAGAAAGGGACGGCUAAAUACGUGCCAGCAGCCGCGGUAAUACGUAUGUCCCGAGCGUUAUCCGGAUUUAUUGGGCGUAAAGCGAGCGCAGACGGUUGAUUAAGUCUGAUGUGAAAGCCCGGAGCUCAACUCCGGAAUGGCAUUGGAAACUGGUUAACUUGAGUGUUGUAGAGGUAAGUGGAACUCCUGGGGACACGG